UCUAUUGUAUUAGUAAGAUACACACUUCAAGAAUGUCUGAGAGAUCCAAAAUUGGACUAUUAACAAAACACCUUGAGAGAAUGAGAUCUACAUGAUCAAGUUCCACAGAGAAGCUCUUUUUACAGAUCCAAGUGAGCGGUUUGAAAGCAUUAUGAUUAGCAGCAUUAAGAUGUUAAAAAAAAAGAAAAAUGUUGUGACCUCUUCAACUAUAGGCUAUUUUUAUAAUUGUGAGGAGCAUCAAAAAAGGGAUCUUUUUUCACCUCCAAAACAUUCGGUUUCGUUAUAAAGAGGAACCACGAUCGUGACGAUGCAAUCGGCGAGCAUGGUAAUGAUGAACCAGGCGUUCGCAAGCAUGAAGGCAUAUGGGUUAAUCAACAAAUAUUAUAUUAUCAAAGCACUCUAAAUCGAUGUUUAUACUUAGAUGGUGUUUUGAUUUAAUUGUGUGCAGGUUAUAUUGGUCAAGCAUAAUCCGAUUAUUCGAUUAGCAGACUCAGUUAACAAAAGUUAUACAUAAAACCAAAGAGAUAUAUAAUC
rnacentral:lncRNA from 1 species